rnacentral:rRNA from 1 species
CUACGGGGGGCAGCAGUGGGGAAUAUUGGACAAUGGGGGCAACCCUGAUCCAGCAAUGCCGCGUGUGUGAAGAAGGCCUGCGGGUUGUAAAGCACUUUCAGUAAGGAAGAAAACCACAGGGUUAAUACCCCUGUGGCUUGACAUUACUUACAGAAGAAGCACCGGCUAACUCCGUGCCAGCAGCCGCGGUAAUACGGAGGGUGCGAGCGUUAAUCGGAAUUCCUGGGCGUAAAGCGUGCGUAGGCGGUUUGGUCAGUCGGAUGUGAAAGCCCCGGGCUUAACCUGGGAAUUGCAUUCGAUACUGCCUGACUAGAGUAUGAUAGAGGAAAGUGGAAUUCCCGGUGUAGCGGUGAAAUGCGUAGAUAUCGGGAGGAACAUCAGUGGCGAAGGCGGCUUUCUGGAUUAAUACUGACGCUGAGGUACGAAAGCGUGGGGAGCAAACAGGAUUAGAUACCCCCGUAGUC